rnacentral:misc_RNA from 1 species
UCCGGCUUGUCGCCGGCGGUCCCUCUAGAGUGCCCAACUGAAUGAUGGCAACUAAAGGCGAGGGUUGCGCUCGUUGCGGGACUUAACCCAACAUCUCACGACACGAGCUGACGACAGCCAUGCAGCACCUGUACAAGUUCGCCUUGCGGCACCCUGACUUUCAUCAGGAUUAACUUGCGUUUCAAGCCUAGGUAAGGUUCUUCGCGUUGCGUCGAAUUAAACCACAUGCUCCACUGCUUGUGCGGGCCCCCGUCAAUUCCUUUGAGUUUCAACCUUGCGAUUGUACUUCCCAGGUGGAAUACUUAAUGCGUUAGCUUGGAUACUGAUUUAAAAAAAAACCAACAUCUAGUAGACAUAGUUUAGGGCGUGGACUAC